rnacentral:rRNA from 1 species
UACAGAGGGGGCAAGCGUUAUUCGGAAUUAUUGGGCGUAAAGGGCGCGUAGGCGGCUUGGCAAGUGGAUGGUGAAAUCCCUCGGCUUAACCGGGGAACUGCGUCUGAUACUGGAUGGCUAGAGGUUGGGAGAGGGAUGCGGAAUUCCAGGUGUAGCGGUGAAAUGCGUAGAUAUCUGGAGGAACACCGGUGGCGAAGGCGGCAUCCUGGACCAAUUCUGACGCUGAGGAGCGAAAGCCAGGGGAGCAAACGGG